CAAUAGCGUAUAUUAAAGUUGUUGCAGUUAAAAAGCUCGUAGUUGAAUUUCUGGUGGGCACGCCGGUCUUCCAAGUGUUGUACUGGGCGCAGUCCGCCAUCCUUGUGGAGAGGGCUCGCAUUGAGUUGCGUGUCGGAUCUGCAUCAUUUACUGUGAAAAAAUUAGAGUGUUUAAAGCAGGCUGUCGCUUGAAUACAUUAGCAUGGAAUAAUAAGAUAGGACUUCGGUCUAUUUUGUUGGUUGCGAACCGAGGUAAUGAUUAAUAGGGAUAGUUGGGGGUAUUCAUAUUUAAUUGUCAGAGGUGAAAUUCUUGGAUUUAUGAAAGAUGAACAACUGCGAAAGCAUUUACCAAGGAUGUUUUCAUUAA
rnacentral:rRNA from 1 species